UGCUGUUGCUGCUGCUGCUGCUGCGGGGGUCGGGCGGCGGCCAGGGGAUUUGGGCAGGCACCGUGGGUCCCCGGGAAGGGGACGAGUUGACAGAUGUGCAUGAGGAGGUCCCUGGUCGGCCUUAUCUUUUGUACCUGCUACCUGGCUUCUUACCUCACGAACAAGUAUGUGCUGUCUGUCUUGAAAUUUACCUACCCUACAUUAUUCCAAGGAUGGCAGACGCUUAUUGGUGGACUUUUGCUUCAUGUGUCCUGGAAACUGGGCUGGGUAGAGAUCAACAGCAGUUCAAGAUCUCAUGUUCUGGCAUGGCUUCCUGCUUCAGUGCUGUUUGUGGGUAUAAUCUAUGCUGGGUCCAGAGCCUUGUCCAGACUGGCCAUUCCUGUGUUUCUCACUUUGCAUAAUGUAGCUGAAGUUAUCAUCUGUGGGUACCAGAAGUGUUUUCGGAAAGAGAAAACAUCUCCUGCAAAGAUCUGUAGUGCCCUCUUCCUCCUGGCCACAGCAGGAUGCCUUCCCUUCAAUGACUCCCAGUUUGAUCCAGAUGGAUAUUUUUGGGCUAUAAUUCACUUAUUCUGUGUAGGGGCUUAUAAAAUUCUACAGAAGUCCCAGAAACCCAGUGCAUUAAGUGACAUUGACCAGCAAUACUUAAACUAUAUAUUCAGUGUGGUGUUCCUGGCAUUUGCAUCUCAUCCCACAGGUGAUCUCGUCAGCGUCCUGGACUUCCCAUUCCUGUACUUCUACAGAUUCCAUGGCAGCUGCUGUGCCAGUGGAUUUUUGGGAUUCUUUCUCAUGUUCAGUACAGUGAAGCUAAAAAACCUUCUGGCCCCAGGGCAGUGUGCAGCCUGGAUUUUCUUUGCUAAGAUAAUCACAGCUGGCUUAUCAAUAUUGCUGUUUGAUGCGAUCCUGACCAGUGCAACCACAGGAUGCCUCCUGCUCGGUGCACUUGGAGAGGCCUUGCUGGUUUUCUCAGAGCGGAAGAGCUCCUGAACAAGAUGGUCAAGAGAAGGAGACUCACAGGCUGCUGCGGGAGAACAUCACCCCUGGUCUCAUAGCUCCCUGUUGAAUGUGUCAGAAAGAGGAACGCAAGGACAGUGAGGCCAGGUGGGCAGGGCCAUCACCCUCACCCAAGUGAAUGUGGUGGUGGCUGAUGAGGCCCAGGCCCUGGUGCUUCAAGGAGCAUCCUUUCUGGGGGUCUGCAGGUCGCGGCAGAGGAGCGGUCUGUUACAUCUUCCCACUUGGAGAACCUCUCUCAACCUGAUUCUGCAGAAACAGGAAGUACAGGAUUUCAUGGGCUGGCUCUGCUCGCCUCGACUGAGCUUCAUACUUCUGGAUGCCACAUGCUCUCUCCCAAACACUGCUUUCAGUGCGAGAUGUUUCAAAUACCUCACCACUCUGCCAGGUAUCGGAGAGUCUGGGCCAUUCAAGGUGACCCAUGAGUCCUCGGCAAGCAGGGAGCCAGGCCCUGUAGUGUUGAAUACCCACGUCAUUGAUGGAGACCCCCUGCCCCUGGCAUCCGGGAAAUACGCCUUGUCCGUACGCAGCCCCAUGGAGAAUACAGUCAGCUCAGUCGGUGGCUGUUGUUGCUUCUGCAUGUGUUCCCCAACUUGUUGAGAAAAGAAAGAGAAAAAGAAACAGAUAGCGAUGGAUUCGUGUAUUUGGAACUUGAGUACCUUAAAUUCAUGUCCCUGUCUUUUCUUGGUCUCUGCUUGUCAUGUAAGGUAAAAAUGCUAAGAGUGACCUUAACACAUAUGGCUUUCAACUUACUUUUGUUGUUGUUGUUUUGUCUUGUUGUUUGUUUCCAUGAAAAAUAUUUAUAUUUUUUUUCUAACCUCCAGCUGAUUAAACAGGUACCUUACACUUACGGAUUUGGAGGAAAAAUAAUAGUAGCUGCCUGACAUAUCCUCUCACUUUGAAGAGUCUCUACUUUUUUUUUUUAAUUUAAAUUUUUUUUAUUUUUAGUUCUGGGGUACAUGUGCAGGUUUAUUACAUAGGUAAAUGUGUGCCAUGGUGGUUUGCUGCACCUAGCAACCCAUCACCGAGGUACUGAGUCCAGCAUGCAUUAGCUAUUUUUCCUAAUAUUCUCCCUCCCUCCCCACCCCCCGAACAGGCCCCGGUAUAUGUUGUUCCCCUCCCUGUGUCCAUGUUCAACUUACUUUUGUUCUUCAUCUAGGACGUCAAACUUUCUAGAGACUGAGGGUCAAAUAGAAAAUCUGGGUUUAGAAUUGUCCUUAAUCUCUUGCUCCCGUAAAACUCUAUACAAUGGAGACCAGUUCUUUUCCACUUGCAGAAAGUGGCAUCUGUCCAAGUGUCAUUUUCUACCUGUCUUUCCAAGUGCCAUUUAAGCAAAUGGAGGUUCUGAUGACUGCAAAGAGCCAUGCAGUUUAAACCCAGUCCUCUUUCCAGCAGAACUGGCCCCAAAAGCUUUUGCUGAGAAGUUUUAGAUCCUUUUUCAAAUGGUUCUCUAGCAAGCAUGUGUUUGUUUUUGUUUGGUUGUUUGAAUCACCUUUCAGAGUCCUGUUUGGUUGUUUUUUGUUUGUUUGUUUUGUUUCAUUUUCUUGAGAUAGGGGUUCACUGUGUUACCCAGGCUUGAGUGCAGUGGUGCAGUCACAGCUCACUGCAGCCUCAACCUCCCAGGCUCAAGCAGUCCUCCCACCCCAGCCUCCCAAGUGGCUGGGACUACAGGCACGUGCCACUACACCCAGCUAAUUUUUUAUUCUUUGAAGAGAUGGGGUCUCACUAUGUUGCCCCCUGCCCAUUGUUCUUAAAAUCUCAGAUCUUUUCUUACAUUGACACCAGCAAGAGGCAGAGGAUAAGGUGUUUCGUCAGUAUGGUAUCAGUUUCCUUCAGUUUCUAUUGGUUCUUGGGCCUUUUUAUUCAAGCUUUAACCACCAUCUUCUUUUUUUUUUUUUUUUUCGAGACAGAGUCUCACUCUGUCACCCAGGCUGCAGUGCAGUGGCGCAAUCUCGGCUCACUGCAAGCUCCGCCUCCGGGGUUCACGCCAUUCUCCUGCCUCAGCCUUCUGAGUAGCUGGGACUACAGGUGCCCGCCACCAUGCCCGGCUAAUUUUUUUUUUGUAUUUUUAGUAGAGAUGGGGUUUCACUGUGUUAGCCAGGAAGGUCGCGAUCUCCCGACCUCAUGAUCCGCCCACCUUGGCCUCCCAAAGUGCUGGGAUUACAGGCUUGAGCCACCGCGCCCGGCCUAACCACCAUCUUCUAUGCCCAAGUUCACAUGCUCAGCGCUGAAUGGUGAGCCCAAAUACCUGAACAGUGGAGUGGCCCCCUCACUGUAGCCCCAAGCUCUCAUUUUCUGCUCGGGGAGUCUCCAGGUAACCCCACACUCUCCCUUUACCCUUGGGUCCUGUUUGGUGCCUGAUGACCUUAAUCCUUGCUGGACCCCAGUCAGAGCCUUGGGAUUUUGGGUUUUUUAAUUUGUAUAAAUAAAGAAUAUGCUUUCUAUUAGGAGAGGCAAGGUUGUGUACAAUCGUGUAUUAUUACUAAUCUGCUGUGGAUAUAAAGAAAAAUAAGGGCCAGGCACGGUGGCUCAAGCCUGUAAUCCCAGCACUUUAGGAGGCUGAGGUGGGAGGAUUGAUUGAACCCAGGAGUCUGAGACCAGUCUGGGCAACACAGUGAACCUCCAUCGCUACAAAAAUAACAAAUAAAAAUUAGCCAGGCAUGGUGACACACGCCUGUAAGUCCCAGCUACUCAGGCGGCUGAGGCAGGAGGUUUGCUUGAGCUCAGGGGUCAAGGUUGCAAUGAGCCAUGACUGUGCCACGGCACUCCAGCCUGGGCAACAGAGCCAAACUCUGUCUCUAAAAAUAAUAAUAAAAGAAAAAUAGUUUAUUUUCUUUCCUUUGCCUUUCUUUCUGUUCUCUUCAAUAUCGGCAGGGGAGUAUUACAGAAAAUAUUGGUGUUAACCCUGGGGAGGGAGUUCUUGUAGCUUUAACCCAGAUCCAGACUCCUCUUUCUGCCCACAUCCAGACCACUGAGCUUGAAACAGAGAAGGGCCCACCCAGUGCCUCUAGCCCUGUGCUGUCCAGUGUGGAUGCCCCUGGCCACCUAUGGCUUUGGAGCACUGGAGUGUGGUUGGGCCAAAUUCAGAUGGGCUGUAAGUGUAAGAACACACUGGUUUCAAAGACUUAAUAUUUUUAAAAAAGAAUGUAAAAUAUCACAUCAUUUUUCUAUUGAUUACAUGUUGAAAUAAUAUUUUUUAUAUAUUGGGCUGAAUAAAAUACACUAUCAAAAUUA